UACGAACCUUUGACAAUCCCAUCAGUUUUGGGCUCCCAUCGCCAUUCACCAUACCGGUGUACUCUAGUGGAUCCACUACCAGUAGUUUAGGUUUCUCACCUCCAACAGAACUUGUUUUUCCUCAACCCGGUGAAGAUGAGCGUUUUGAAGAUCCAUGUUAUGUUCCGGAUCCGAUAUCUCUACUGGGACCUGUUUCAGAAUCACUUGAUUUAAGAGCUGCUGGGUAUGAAACUGGCAUAGGACAGGUAAAAUACCAGGCGAUGAAGAAUACACCUUCUUGUGAAGCCAACAAGCCAUCUCCAAUUGAGUCUCCCUUGUCUAGAUCACGGGCUGCGGAUGAAAAACAAGCUAAUGAUGGAAGCUGGCAAAUGUGGAAGAGUCCUCUAGGCCAAAACGGUCUUGGUUUAGUUGGUGGGUCAGCAAACUGGGUUAUACCUUCCGAAAUAAGUAGAUCUAUCGAGGAAAGUGAUAUGCAUCACGCGCCUCAGCAUAGAACAGAAUCAUUAUUUUCAAAAGAGGAUUGCCAGCUUCAUCAAGGUGCUUAUUCACAAAGGAAGGACUAUCUUGAACAUGAUCAGAGAAGUGGCGUUUUCAGCCCCAUUACUGGUCCAACCACUACUGAUCCUUGGUCUCAGAAAAUGUUCUUCCCUGCAUUAUCUGGUAUUGAGAGUCCUUUUUCUACUACCACACAAACAAAAAGCGUCUUGAACAAUGCGGCAGGGUACAGAAGUCCAACGGGAUCUGGUUCAGACAAUCCAUUUGAACAUCCUUCUCCUAAUCACUGGCUCAAGUAAGUCCUGAAAACUUGUUGUUUCUGUAGUUUUCUGAGAUGGCAAGACAAAGUGUAAAUCUUGAAAAGAAGCAGUAAUGAUUUGGUAGAAUUUGUGAAUGUACAGGAAGGUGAAGAGCUCAGGGAAUGGGAGUGGGAAGCAAGUUUUAGCGGCCGGUGAAGUUGAGAACCACCAAAAAGAUGUAGAAUCAUUCUGGUAGUCACAAAAUUAAACAAAAUGAGGUCAAAUUUUUUGCAGAUACACACACGUUGACUGUGUCUGUCUGUCUCUGUCUUUUGUCCUCUCGGGUCUUCAAUGGAGAUAUAGAGAUAAUUUAGAUUACAUUUUAUGCAUUUACCAUUACAGUGAUAACUUAAUAUUCAAAUAAAUAAUAAGAAUUAAAGUAUAUUUCUAAUCUUGAUACGACGAAAGUUGUUUAUCAUCUCGUAUCAAACGUAGAGGCAGUUGAACAAUUUAACAAACGAAAAUGUUCUUAGAUUGGUAUAACCAUUCGUCGAAAACUAUAAAGAUUUACUUUUAUUUAACCAUAAGAUGAUAUCAUCUAUCAAAAAGUGUUAAUUAUAGUUGAUCAUAUAUAAUAAGAACAAAUUAUAAAGGCUAUAUACAAAGGAAAUUUGCGUUAAUUAGGUUAUCUAACCGCAUGCAUCCAAAACAAAUCAUGUAUUUAAAAACUUGAUCACAACUUGAGCAAAAUAUAUGGAGAGCAAAGGGCCAUCGCCAAUAGUUCCACUUGUGCUUGUGGUACUCUUCGGAUGGUUCCUAUGCGGCUCGUACCUUGUCUCACUAUUAGAAGAUGUUGUAUUACCAAUCUUACAAACCGGAACGUUCAUUGUAGGAAUCUUUCUCUUGCUUCUCCUUUUGCUUCUCCAUGUCUUAUCUUCUUCUUGGAUCUAUCCAUGGAUCCCUUCUCUUUUUCUUUUACCAUCUCCGGCUUCCACCACUUCUACUGACUCCGACAGCUUUGGCCUUGGAUCCUUUCUUUUGCUCACACUUUUUUUCAUCUCCUUCUGGUUGUUUCAGUCAGUGUAAUUAAUGUAUAUUCUUCUUGUACACAAAUAGUUUCUCUCAUUGGAAUUUGUAUUUUCCUGAUUGUUCAUGCAAGAUAUUAUUAUACACUUUUUUACAUCUUAUAGGAAAGACCACUUGAUAAAUCAUGCAAGAUUCCAACAUAUAAUGUUUUUCUUUUUGUAAUGUUUAAAUAAUUAAUUACUGCAUCACUCAUAUUUCAUUUUGCUUGUAAAGAAACUGAAUACAACAUAUAUAUAUCAUCUGUGAAAACAAGAUAUAAGAAAAAGAAGUAGGGGUGAAACAAAUCAAACACAAUAAAAAAACCUAGCUAGCUAGCUAGGAUCGGAGUUGCAUAAUAAUGAGUCGAUAGAAGAUGUUAUAUAAGUCUCCGUGCAACCACCUUUCACGACCAACCAGCACGAAGGACAUGAAAUGAAAGCAACAACAUGACACAGAGGGAAGAUCACAUGCAUUGCCUUGGGUUUUAGAUUCAAAUUUUAGGGUCAGAUUUUGAGUACUGUAAUAUGUGUGUUUAAAUAAGGUAAAAACUAUAAGAAAUUUUUUUAAGAAACUUCUUACUUGAUUUAUCAUUUUUUCCAAUAUUUUUGUGAAGAUGUACCAAACAUAUCCAAGAAAAUAAUUUCACCAAUCUGGUAGAUAAUGAAUGAUUCGAUAUAGUAUGUAUGUGCUAUAAAAACUUUUAUCAAUGCUUAAACUUAAAAUAGCUUUGACCAUAUCUAAACUAUGUUAUAAAAUAACUUUUAAAAUAUUCUUUUUUUAAAAAAAUUCUUAAAAUGUUUUAUAUGUUAUUUGAACAUUUCUUUGAAAUGCCCAUUAUUAGUCCAUUAGCCCAACAAACCGUUGGAUAUAUGGGUGGGGCGGCGUUUAAGAGGCACUGACUUGACCCGACUACCCACCCGGUUCGUUCCUUGGUUCCGGUUUUGCCUUGUAAACAUUUUCUUUCGUUUUUCUUCAUCAUCUUCUUCUCAAAUCUUUCGCGUUUACGGUUUCUUCGUUAGCAGGAUUCGAACGAAAGCCACGAGACUACGUGAUUCAACCCGAAUACGAUCCGAAUCAGGAUUCUCCUUCCAUCAUCUUCCAUCCCCAAUUUCAAAGCUCUUCUCUUUUUGGCUGAUGCUUUGCUUCAAUGGCCUCUCUAUCGGUAAGUCUCCUCUUACCUUCUCUCGAUUAAUUCACAUUGCACAACAAGUCAAUCUGAACUCUGCGUACAAGGGUUCAUCGAUUUCUAUUUGUAGAACGUUGUGGUUCGUCUAAUUUGAUUCCAUUGUUGUUGCUACAUAGGUAUGUUGCUAUAACAAUCUUUAACUACAGUUGCUUAGAGCUGGAGACUUGUUAACUUCGAUGGUGUAUAACCUUAAAAUAAGAUUAGGGUUUGGGUUUUCUGCUGCGACUACAUCCUCUGGGUUGAAAUUUCUCUGAGUUUAGGGUUUUCUGAUACAUUUGGUUUGAUAAGAAGAAGAAAAGGUGUUGCCUUUUGGAGGAUAAUGUGUAUAUUGUGCGUUAUACAAAAGUGGUCUCGUCAGGUUGCAACGAUGCUACCUUGGUUUGUCAUACCUUUGAUUGGACUAUGGGCUCUCUCUCAGCUUCUUCCACCAGCUUUUCGUUUUGAGAUUACUUCUCCCAGGCUUGCUUGUGUAUUUGUGCUCUUGGUUACUUUGUUCUGGUACGAGGUUUUGAUGCCUCAGCUCUCUACUUGGCGGGUACGUAGAAAUGCCCAACUUAGGGAGAGAGAAAGAUUAGAAGCUAUUGAAUUGCAAAAGUUGAAGAAAAAUGCCACAAGGCGUUGUCGUAACUGCUCAAAUCCUUACAGGGACCAAAAUCCAGGUGGUGGGAAAUUUAUGUGUUCGUAUUGUGGACAUGUAUCAAAACGGCCUGUUUUAGACAUGGCCUUGUCUUCCGGAUUAGAGAUUUCUGGUUCAGGGAUUUUGAAGGAUCUUGUUGGAAGAGGUGGAAAGAUGUUGAAUGGGAAGGGAUGGAGUGAGAAUGGAUAUUUGCACAGGCAAGAGUGGUCUGACAACAGCACAUGGACUAGCGGGUCAAGCUAUUGGCGGAAUAAUAGUGGCGAUACGUUUGAAGGAGAUGAAAAUUGUUUGGUGGAGAAAUCAUAUUCUGGUGGUGUUGUUUUUGCUUGCAGGUUGUUGACUUCUUUUUUCAUGAGCAUUUUGUGGCUUUGGAGAAAGAUAUUUAGAUUUAGCUCAUCAGUUGGUGAUUCAUCACUUGACCCUGAGCAGAGGCGGAUGUUGGCUAGGCAGGGUGAGAACGGGACAAGCAGUCAUGAAAGUAGGGUAGAAAAGGCACGUAGAAAAGCAGAGGAGAAAAGACAAGCUAGGCUAGAGAAGGAGCAUUCAGAGGAGGAAGAGAGAAAACAAAGAGAGGAAGUAGCAAGAUUAGUAGAGGAACGGAGAAGGCUGAGAGAUGAGAUACUUGAGGCCGAGAAAUGCAGCAAAUUUUCAGUGGCUGCUAAGGAGAAAGACACUAAGGAGGCAGAAAAGAAACGUCAGGAGAGAAGAAAAGAGAGAGAUAGGGCCUCAAGUAAGAGCAAUUCUGAUGGUGAAGAGGUUGACAAGAGAACAAGAAAGGAAACCGAGCAGAAGCGCGGGCUUAAUAAGAGCGAUCAUCUGGAACAUGAGAGGCACGCACCUGAUAAUUUAAGGGGCCCCAACAUGGAAAGGAGACAUGGACAUGGUUUAGAGAAUAAUGUCACUAGUAACGGUACAAAAUCUGGUGGUAGGUACUUUGAUCGAAUGAAGAGUACAACUUUUUCUUCUUCAAAGGCUUUUACUGAUAGUCGUAUAUUUGGGAGAGGUGUUAAUACUUCUGCUACAUUUGCAAGAGAAAACAAGCCAACUGGUUCUGCAGAUAAUUCUCAUACCUAUGCUCAUUCUAGUCAUAUUAAUCCUCCUGACUUCGUGGCUAUGAAAUCUGUCCCUAAUGAAGAGGAGAGGAACACUAAUAAUCCAGUAAGUACCCUUUCCAAAAUUUCUCAUCUGUUUGUUCUAUGGUUUUGAGUAAACUAGUGUGCUUAAAGAUAUAAAUCUCACCUUCACUCAUAUGUUUUCUGUUAUAAAUGGUUUCAAAAGUUCAUUUUCGUCUUGAAACUUUUUUUUGUCAAUUAAAACUGAAUAUUUGAUACUGUUUCCUCAGGUUGUUUCUGAGCCAAAACCGAGUAGAGAACCUAGAAAAUCAUGGCACCAACUGUUUGCUCGUUCAACUCCUGCUCCUGUUUCCUCAAAUGUUAAUACUAUAAGUAGACCUAGCACGAAUCCCCAGCCAAAUGUUCAGAUCUCACAGGUUCCCAGUCAAGUUUCCUCAAUACGAACCUUCGACAAUUCCAUCAGUUUUGGGCUCCCAUCGCCAUUUACCAUACCGGUGUACUCUAGUGGAUCCACUACCAGUAGUUUAGGUUUCUCACCUCCAACAGAAUUUGUUUUUCCUCAACCCGGUGAAGAUGAGCGUUUUGAAGAUCCAUGUUAUGUUCCGGAUCCGAUAUCUCUACUGGGACCUGUUUCAGAAUCACUUGAUUUAAGAGCUGCUGGGUAUGAAACUGGCAUAGGACAGGUAAAAUACCAUGCGAUGAAGAAUACACCUUCUUGUGAAGCCAACAAGCCAUCUCCAAUUGAGUCUCCCUUGUCUAGAUCACGGGCUGCGGAUGAAAAACAAGCUAAUGAUGGAAGCUGGCAAAUGUGGAAGAGUCCUCUAGGCCAAAACGGUCUUGGUUUAGUUGGUGGGUCAGCAAACUGGGUUUUACCUUCUGAAAUA
rnacentral:lncRNA from 1 species